rnacentral:rRNA from 1 species
GACGAACGCUGGCGGCGUGCUUAACACAUGCAAGUCGAGCGGAAAGGCCCUGCUUUUGUGGGGUGCUCGAGUGGCGAACGGGUGAGUAACACGUGAGUAACCUGCCCUUGACUUUGGGAUAACUUCAGGAAACUGGGGCUAAUACCGGAUAGGAGCUCCUGCUGCAUGGUGGGGGUUGGAAAGUUUCGGCGGUUGGGGAUGGACUCGCGGCUUAUCAGCUUGUUGGUGGGGUAGUGGCUUACCAAGGCUUUGACGGGUAGCCGGCCUGAGAGGGUGACCGGCCACAUGGGGACUGAGAUACGGCCCAGACUCCUACGGGAGGCAGCAGUGGGGAAUAUUGCACAAUGGGCGGAAGCCUGAUGCAGCAACGCCGCGUGCGGGAUGACGGCCUUCGGGUUGUAAACCGCUUUCGCCUGUGACGAAGCGGGAGUGACGGUAAUGGGUAAAGAAGCACCGGCUAACUACGUG